rfam:Ciona intestinalis ciona1978, whole genome shotgun sequence.
GAGUUGAUGGUGUAACGGUUAGCAUUGGUGCCUUCUAAGCACUAUUUUCUGGUUCGACUCCCGAUCGACGCA